CGCGUAGGCGGCCGAAUAAGUCAGAUGUGAAAGCCCGGGGCUCAACCCCGGAAGUGCAUUUGAAACUGUUUGGCUUGAGUAUGGUAGAGGGAAGUGGAAUUCCAGGUGUAGCGGUGAAAUGCGUAGAUAUCUGGAGGAACACCGGUGGCGAAGGCGACUUCCUGGACCAAUACUGACGCUGAGGCGCGAAGGUGUGGGUAGCAAACAGGAUUAGAUACCCUGGUAGUCC
rnacentral:rRNA from 1 species